rnacentral:rRNA from 1 species
UACGGAGGGUGCGAGCGUUGUCCGGAUUUAUUGGGUUUAAAGGGUGCGUAGGUGGUUAAUAAGUCAGUGGUGAAAUACGGUUGCUCAACAAUCGAGGUGCCAUUGAUACUGUUAAUCUUGAAACAAGUGGAGGUUGCCGGAAUGGAUGGUGUAGCGGUGAAAUGCAUGAGAUAUCAUCCAGAACACCGAUUGCGAAGGCAGGUGACUACGUUUGAUUUGACACUGAGGCACGAAAGCAUGGGGAGCAAACAGG